rnacentral:tRNA from 1 species
GGCUUCGUAGCUCAGCUAGCAGAGCGCUCGCCGCGUUUGGGCAUGGUGUUUCGCUCGCUGGUUCGAAUCCAGCCGAAGUCC